rnacentral:misc_RNA from 1 species
UCUCCGUUGGUGAACCAGCGGAGGGAUCAUUACCGAGUUUACAACUCCCAAACCCAAUGUGAACGUUACCAAACUGUUGCCUCGGCGGGAUCUCUGCCCCGGGUGCGUCGCAGCCCCGGACCAAGGCGCCCGCCGGAGGACCAACCUAAAACUCUUAUUGUAUACCCCCUCGCGGGUUUUUUUAUAAUCUGAGCCUUCUCGGCGCCUCUCGUAGGCGUUUCGAAAAUGAAUCAAAACUUUCAACAACGGGUCUCUUGGUUCUG